GGCUGGCCCUUCCGAAGGCAUGUGCACGCCCUGCUCAAUCCACUCUACACCUGUGCACUUACUGUGGGUCUUCGAGCAAUGGGGGUUUAUAAUUUCUUAUAAGCCUUCGUUUGAAGCCCACGUUUACACACAAACACUUAUAAAGUAAAAGAACGUGUAUUGCGAUGUAACGCAUCCAUAAU
rnacentral:misc_RNA from 1 species